AGUGAACGCUGGCGGUAGGCCUAACACAUGCAAGUCGAACGGCAGCACAGUAAGAGCUUGCUCUUACGGGUGGCGAGUGGCGGACGGGUGAGGAAUACAUCGGAAUCUACUUUUUCGUGGGGGAUAACGUAGGGAAACUUACGCUAAUACCGCAUACGACCUACGGGUGAAAGCAGGGGAUCUUCGGACCUUGCGCGAUUGAAUGAGCCGAUGUCGGAUUAGCUAGUUGGCGGGGUAAAGGCCCACCAAGGCGACGAUCCGUAGCUGGUCUGAGAGGAUGGACAGACAGCGGGGGACGGGGACACAGAACAGACUGGUGCGGGAGGCAGAAGAGAAGAGUAGUGUGGAAUGGACGAGAGUGUGUGGUAUCAACGACGCGUGUGGGAAGACGGAAUACGAGGUGUAAAGCUCUGUUAAGAGGAACGAAAGGAGUGAGUGAGAAUAGGGAGAAGGAGUGCAGGUAGCGGAGGAGAGAAAAAGGGCACACUAAGUC
rnacentral:rRNA from 1 species